ensembl:snoRNA
AGGUCAUUUCAAAGAGAGUUUGUUGGGCCCCGAAACCAAGAUCUCUGAACUCCUUGACCAAAGACUGCAGCUCUCCACAGGACAACAGAGCUUUUCAGUAGUGCUGUGUUUUCCUGAGGAGAAACAUAA